UGGGACUGGCUGGCCUGCUGACCGAGGGAGGGAAUGGACUGGCUGGCCUGCUGACCGAGGGAAUGGACUGGCUGGCCUGCUGACCGAGGGAGGGAAUGGACGGGUGGAGGAGAUAAUAAUAGCACCCUGCUGGCACACUGAUGAUGGCGUCAGCGAAUAGGACUUGCAUCGCCGUAAAAAGGACGAGAUGGACCGACUGGCUAACGGACUGGUGGAGCUGACGGACUGGUGGAGCUGAUGGAGCUGAUGGAGCUGACGGACUGGUGGAGCUGGUGGAGCUGACGGACUGGUGGAGCUGACGGACUGGUGGAGGAGAUAAUAAUAACAUGACACCUGCUGACCCACUGAUGAUGGCGUCAGCGAGUUUAACGAGGACUUGCUUCGUAGGAAAGGAAGGACUUGCAUCAAACGAAAGGAAGGACUUGCAUCAAAGGAAAGGACUUGCAUCGAAGGAAAGGACAUGAUCCUGACGCUGAUGGUAAUAACAAUAAUAAUAAUAUCUACGCAGUCUGGUCUGGAUCCAUGCUGGCCCUAAACCAACUAUGACAAGAAAAACAAAGGUUGCCAUCGUUAAUGCCGGGGCGUGUAGUAUAGCCACCCUAUUCUCCGAAUAGUGGAGCUAAAAAAAGGAACAAUUUUAUGCUUGCAUUAUAAUAAGUAAAGUGUAUCGCUACAAUACUUACAGCUAACAAAAGGCAAUGUCACAAAAACAAUUUAUUCAUAAUUAAUUAAAUAAACUUUGUUGUUUUUUUAUAGAGUAUCUAUUAAAUUUUCCAAG